UGCCACCUGCAGUGGACAGAGCCCCAUUGGCGACCCCCUGCCUGGGCUCUGGCACCUACCCAGCUGUGCCCAGGUGUGGGGUGGCUGCCAUCCCUACCUGAGCACACAGCCUGGGAACAGGAUCUCAUUCUCCACCUGCAAGGAGGAGCCUCGACCCACGGACUCCGUGUGCUCGUACUGCAGCCUCACCUGGUUGCACAGGCACAUGGACACAACCAGAGACCGAAUCACUCACCUCCCAGAAUUACAAUCUUCCUGCGUGUUUCCUCACUCAUGAACGACUUGACCAAGUUGAAGGCCACGGGGAACAGUUUGGGGGCUGAAACACAUGCAAAUCUCCUGAGAAGCUGGAGCAGAGAGGAUGUGGGGAUACAGAGCCACAGUCAGGAGCAUGUGCUGGGCUGGAGCUGGACAGAUACGGACUCUGCCGCUGUCUGCGGUGUGACCUUCAGCACCCUCUCUAAGUCUCAGUGCAGUUAACUGGAAAAGGAAGGUGAAAUAACGUAUAUAUAACACCUGGCACAGUUCCUGGCUUUCAAUAAAUGGUUGUCUCGGGCCAGG